AAUGACCCUUAGGCGUGCAUAACGAACUUGAAAUGAGUUUCAUAAACAUAUAACUAAUCAAAUAAAUCAUGAAAAAGGUUUAGAAUGUGGAUAUAAGUUCGUUUGUUGGUAGUUGGGAUCGAAAAACACUAGAGGAAAAAACCUUAUAUUGCUCAUCAAAAGUUGCCCUUAUACAACAAGAGCAACUUAUAAUGGUUAAAAAAAAAAAGUUUAAAAGCUGCCCUUAUCUAACAAGAGCAUCUUUUAAUUGACAAAAAAUAAAACAAAAAAAUAAAAAGUAAAUCUUUUGUACUGAAACUAGAUAUUUCUCCCCUCUCUUCUCGCUGCUCGCUUCACUCUCCAUAUCACUUGUCUUUGCGCUCUCUCUCGUCUCCAGUCCGCACAGCCGCCGCCAACGAUUGUCCAGUCUGCACAGCCGCCCCCAUCACCGCCAAUGCUCUUCUCUCUCUUCCUCAUUCUUUGUUGCUGAUCUUAUCCUUCCUCCUCUUUUUAUUUGAUGUCGGUCUUCCUUCGAUGCUCUCCUCCUCCUGAUUUUCUUCUCUCUCUGUGCUGCUCUCAACGCCGGCACCCUGAAUUCCGCCGCUGCUUCCACUUCCCUUCCUCUGUCGCUAGCUGCUUCUCUCACAGGUAUUCUUAAAAGGACCAUAUUUAUAUGCUGGCUGGUUUUCCCUAAUUGGAGUUCACCUAGCUAUGAUACUGAUAAUGGCCAGAGCAACUCUCAUUGCCACUAGAAGUUUCAGAGGUUACGUUAAUGUUCCUCAAGGACUAAAUUUUAGCUGUGGGUCGUUUGAAGCUGAAUGGUGAUAAAAAAAACUUCAUGGAAGUUUUCUGCCUGUUGGCCGGGAAUGAUGGUUCUCAGAAUGUCAAGGGAAUAUCCUAAGUUGCUUCUGAAUGUCUUGCAGAGGAAGUAUGCAUUGCUACCAAAAGCUUAAAAGGUCCGUGGGAGACGCACGAAAGCCUGGUCUCAGUUCCAUAAUCGACUUGCAAAUGCUGACAAGGAAUACCUUGCACAACUCAGGAAGGCCUAAUGACUAUUUUAUUUGUGGCUGCAUGCUAAUGCUCUGAUUACUUGAUCCUUCUUUAAUGGCAUUGUGUUGGGAAGAUUUGUUCAGUUCUUUUGAUUAGGACACUAAGACAACUCCACAUUUCCAGUCUACUGUUCAAGGAUUUAUGAUUCAUGUUUUUAAGUGAGCAAUGAAAACUUAAACAGGUCUUGAUUGCAUUAGGUAUCAUGUAUCCUUGGAUUUGGCAACUCAAAUGUAUCAUUACUAUCUGUUUGUGGAAUAGGAAACUCCAUCAAGUAACAUCAGCAGUUAAAAACUAGCCGAAUCAGCCUUAUUGAUCUUGUUGCAAUGUGAAGAGAUAAACAAUUUUAUGCCGGGAGAGAGUUUGACAUGGAACGAAAAGAACUGAAGUGUUCUUUGUCACACCUUGGGUUUUCAAAACUCCAAGGGAGGGGCUCUUUACCAAAGAGGAGUUGGAUGAAGUUCGAGACAAGUGGGCUAUUUACUUCAACGAUUGUGAACUACCCUCAGUGUAAUAAAUAGAGCAGGCAUGUAGUUAUUCGUGACUCUUACAUUAUUUUGUUAUUUAUCGAUUUAAUUAAUUACUUUUGAAUUAAUUCGGUAAUAUUAUUGGAAAUUUGAAAUUUAUAUCAUUUUUGAGAAUGUCAAGCUGAUGUUUGAUGAAACAGUAUUCUAUAAAUUAUAAUGCAGAAUUUUAUAUUGCAAAAUCAGAAA